rnacentral:tRNA from 1 species
UCCCUGGUAGCUCAAUCGGUAAAGAAUCUGCCUGCAGUGCAGAAGACCUGGGUUUGAUCCCUGGUUUGGGAA